rnacentral:rRNA from 1 species
UACAGAGGUCUCGAGCGUUAGGCGGAAUCACUGGGCUUAAAGGGCGCGUAGGCGGGCGGGCAAGUCAGGGGUGAAAUCCCACGGCUCAACCGUGGAAGUGCCUUUGAUACUGCUCGUCUGGAGGGAGGUAGGGCGUGCGGAACUUCCGGUGGAGCGGUGAAAUGCGUAGAUAUCGGGAGGAACACCUGUGGCGAAGGCGGCUUUCUGGGCCUUACCUGACGCUGAGACGCGAAAGCGUGGGGAGCGAACCGG